AGAGUUUGAUCAUGGCNCAGGAUGAACGCUAGCUACAGGCUUAACACAUGCAAGUCGAGGGGCAGCAGUGGUCUUAGCUUGCUAAGGCUGAUGGCGACCGGCGCACGGGUGAGUAACACGUAUCCAACCUGCCGUCUACUCUUGGCCAGCCUUCUGAAAGGAAGAUUAAUCCAGGAUGGGAUCAUGAGUUCACAUGUCCGCAUGAUUAAAGGUAUUUUCCGGUAGACGAUGGGGAUGCGUUCCAUUAGAUAGUAGGCGGGGUAACGGCCCACCUAGUCAACGAUGGAUAGGGGUUCUGAGAGGAAGGUCCCCCACAUUGGAACUGAGACACGGUCCAAACUCCUACGGGAGGCAGCA
rnacentral:rRNA from 1 species